rnacentral:rRNA from 1 species
GGCCGGAUUUCACACAGGUGUUGCAUGGCUGUCGUCAGCUCGUGUCGUGAGAUGUUGGGUUAAGUCCCGCAACGAGCGUAACCCUCAUCCUUAGUUACCAUCAGAUAAUGCUGGGGACUUUAAGGAAACUGCUAGUGAUAAACUGGAGGAAGGUGGGGAUGAUGUCAAGUCAUCAUGGCCCUUAUGGAGUGGGCUACACACGUGCUACAAUGGUGGCUACAAUGGGCUGCAAAGUCGCGAGGCUGAGCUAAUCUCUUAAAAGCCAUCUCAGUUCGGAUUGUACUCUGCAACUCGAGUGCAUGAAGUUGGAAUCGCUAGUAAUCGUGGAUCAGCAUGCCACGGUGAAUACGUUCUCGGGUCUUGUACACACUGCCCGUCACGCCAUGGG